UCCAGACCCCUAGAGAGAGAGAGAGUGAGUUGCAACACACUUUGAUGUCACCACUACGGUGAUCACAUGGUUCAUGUAAGCCUCAAUAGUUCCAAAACAAACCACGCGCUGUCAUGUUCCUCUAUG